rnacentral:lncRNA from 1 species
GUUCUUCAAUAUUCCAAUGAACAUGGCAAAUUUGUCAAUAUGAUUUUUAGUCCUGCAGCUAAUCAUUAGAUGACAGAAAAACAUCAUGUUGUGGCAAAGAAUCAGUAGGUAAUAAUCAGAUAUCUCAUAAUGUUGAUAUUUUCCAAUCCUUCAUAGUUUUUUUUUUUUUUUUUUUUUUUUUUUUUUUUUUGGAGGUAGGGGGAGAAUCCCAGAAAUACCAGAGCACAGAAUAGCAGAUUUAUGAAGGACCAGUUCUCUGGAGAUAAUGUCACAUUUAUCCCAAUAAUCUUUAGAUGUUUAUACCUUAAAAGUUACUCAGCUGAAGUUGCUUUCAAAUUAAACACCAUUGCUGCAGUGUUUCUGUUGUGAUUGUCGGAGGGAAGUGGAGCCAGUGCAAUUUGUCCAUGUUUUACAAAUCACCAUCUGGCAGGGAUAUGGCAACAUGUGAAAUCUUCACAGGACUCUUGUUUUUCUACUAUCUGCUGGAUAACUAAGGAGAUCACCAGACUGCUGGGACGCCUGCCAGAUAGUAAGCAGGAUAUGGAUUGGAGCUGCUUGGGCAGAAACCACAUGGACAAAGGUUGCUUAAAAAUGAAGCUAACACAGAGAAAGGCAAAGAAAGACGAGAGACGAUGACAGCAACUGAGCCCUGUGAUCUGGUCAUGCUUAAAGCUAGGAAGUUCCUGAAAUUGCCAUUUAUUUGAAACAAAAACACCCCCUUCCUUUUUAUGAUCAAACAUAUUCAGAUUGUGUUUCUGUCACUUAUAACCAAAAGAGCCCAGUAUCACCUCACAGAAACAAUGUGUGGGAAGAGCUCAAGGUAAUACCUGCAAUUAGUAAGGACCCAGUGAAUGUUGGCUGCUUUCCUCCUCCUUUUUUUUUUGUAAUUGCUAUUGUCAAGUUUCCACACAAAAAUUGGGGAUCUUUGGAUAAAAAAGGACGAAGAGAAGAAAUUACCAUGUGACAGUUUCCCCAUACAAGGCACAAGCAGAGAACAAGGGGACAAAUUUUAAGGAUCCAUAAGUAUCCCGUAAGUAUUAAGUAUUAAGGGACACCAAAAGUCAGCCUCCCUUUCUUCCAAGCUAAUCUUAGCAGUCCCAAUUAGCUUCUCUGGGCCUUCAGAGGAGCCAGCACACCAAACCAUCCAUUAUUGCCAUGUAUCCACUUUGUAGUCACAAUGUUUGGUCAUAUCCAAUGAUUAUGGAUAUGGAGGUCAUAUCCAUAAUCCAAAUGAUUAUCCAGGCAGAAAUAACAUUUAAUGAAAACCAAGGCCCUACUUUACUUACCUACUGCUAAAAUACCAAUGACAACGUUUGCACAAAGUACCAAUGAUAACGUUUGCACAAAACAUAGGGCAUCACACAAAAGCUAAGCAAUUUGGUUCUGAGAACU